rnacentral:rRNA from 1 species
UUUCGCAAUGCCCGAAAGGGUGACGAAGCGACGCCGCGUGAGUGAGGAAGGCCUUCGGGUUGUAAAGCUCUGUCAGGAGUUAAGAAAUAUAAGUGUGCUAAUACCACAUUUAUUUGACGAAGGCUCCAAAGGAAGCCACGGCUAACUCUGUGCCAGCAGCCGCGGUAAUACAGAGGUGGCAAGCGUUGUUCGGAAUUAUUGGGCGUAAAGAGCACGUAGGUGGGUUUGUAAGUCAGAUGUGAAAGCCUUCUGUUCAACGGAAGAAUUGCAUCUGAAACUGCGAGUCUUGAGUGUAGGAGGGGAGAAUGGAACUUCUGGUGGAGCGGUGAAAUGCGUAGAUAUCAGAAGGAACGCCGGCGGCGAGAGCGAUUCUCUGGCCUAUUACUGACACUCAGUGUGCGAAAGCUAGGGGAGCAAACGGGAUUAGAUACCCCGGUAGUCCUAGCCGUAAACGAUGGGCACUAAGUAGAGGGGUUUUA